rnacentral:rRNA from 1 species
UACAGAGGGUGCGAGCGUUGUCCGGAAUCACUGGGCGUAAAGGGCGCGUAGGUGGCUUGUUAAGCGUGUGGUGAAAGCCCGGGGCUCAACCCCGGGUCUGCCGUGCGGACUGGCAAGCUUGAGCACAGUAGAGGCAGGUGGAAUUUCGGGUGUAGCGGUGGAAUGCGUAGAGAUCCGGAGGAACACCAGCGGCGAAGGCGGCAUCCUGGACUGGUCCUGACGCUCAGGAGCGAAAGCGUGGGGAGCGAUCCGG